CUACCUUGCCAGUUCACUCUCUGCGCAAGCGCAGUGUGGGUCUCCUGCCACCACCUCCUUACUCCCCCCCCCCGCACAGCUUUCUGGGAAGUGUAGUUGCGGAGGGGUGGUGAUGCCUCCGGCGCUAGCCGAGGGAUCCCUUCCAAAAUGCACAAUCGCACGCGGGGAAGGAGAGAUCAAAACCUCGGGAUCCCCUCUUCCAGCCCCUCCGCGCGCAUUCUUUGCGCCACCAGUCCGCUCUCUCCCAAGCUGACUAUGCACACCCGAGCCCCCAAACCUCUCUCUGCCCAAGAUAACCCUCUAAAGCCGUGCAUCCGCCAGCUGGCUGGCGCCCCUUCCUGGGCUGGCGGCCACGAAGCGACUCUGCUCCCCUGUAGAUCGAAUGGGAAUCCUGAGGUCCCAAGACAGCUGAGGACUCUGUUCGGUGCCACCAAAGGAAUGCUGCCACUCAGACUGCCAUACCCCUGCCCUUAGGACUGAGGUCAGGCGAUGAGCUGCCAAGAGGAAUCUGCCGGGGGUUAGAGAGAGCUGUCACUGGCCCAGAAUCCUACUUACCCACCCCCCCCCCGCCCCCCCCCCCCGGCCCGCCCGCCCGCCGCAACAGCUGGAGUCUCUCCGUUUGAGCUGUGGUGAUCUGCCAUCGCCUGAGUUUGGACUGGACCAUCAUAACAAUGAUGAUAUGUCUGUGUUUCACUCUGGUCAGAGUGACUGAAAUGGCUAGAAGACAGAAUGAUCCAGAUCCUGUUCUAUUUUGAUCUAGAGCAGCACACAGUAAAUGGUCUUUGGGUCGUGUGUCCUGUGAGCAGGAACAAAUGACUGACAAGAGGCUGGUAGGAGCAGGGGAGGAAGAAAAGCCCGGCUAACCUCGGGUCGGAACCAGUCCCUGCUCACCUGAAGGGGUAGCCGAACAAAACAAUGAUGGCGCUCACGUCCUUGGCUUCGUUGUUGCAGCGAACCAUGGCUCCCGUCUCCCCGCUGUAAGAGCCGCAGGACCCGAAGGCGAAAAUAGCAAAGAGCUAAGAGAAAGUGGGAGAGUCAGAAGGUCUCACCCGUCCGAGGUCAAGAACCACCCUUUGACUCCAGAGGGUGCAGGUGCUUUGUGGGCAGGGAGUACGGGUUCCUUUUAUCAAGUUCCUCCUGGUAGGGACCCUCAGUGGCCAUCCUUCUCUCAACUCCAAAUACUGUAUUCUCUGAACAAAGCAGUGGGCCUCGUGACCAUGUGAAGAAGACCAACUCUGAGUGUGGUCUCAAGGGAGGGGAAGGGAGAGGAAACGGUGUCCAGACCUCUGUAUUGGGCACGGCGCUGGGGACCACACAUCGCUUCUUUAAGAUAACGACUAACACAAAACCUCUGUAAUUCUGGCUUUGGAAAUGUCUGUUUCAAAGCUAGACUUUUCCCCCCCUGCAAACAAGCGAUCGGACAUAGAUCAAGCCAGAUCAGGCAUGCCUGGAAUGUUUUUCAUUUAAUUUCAUUUUCAUUCUCUCUCGACCAGCAGUCAUGGACUCUUGCCCUUACUUUAUUUCUAACUUCCAGUAGUUUCUUCCCUCACUGGAGGUAUGGUGGAGGGAGGCUUCUACCGAGCCGCUUCAUGGUACUGUCAGCCUGACUUUUCUUCCCCGAAAGCGUAUACCCUUCCGGCCGCGGCACCCGCUGGUGAAUGUUGACAGGACCUGGCUCAAGCCCAGAGGAAAGUAUCGUCCACUUUCCUUAUCAGCCUCUACUCUUUCCCACUGCUGUUCCUCUUUGUAACCUGCUGGUGCUGCCACUUCCCAGUGGCAAGAAGUGGGGGUGUCUCAGACCACUCACACUGUUUCCCUUUCCACCUUUCGUCACGGCUGACUGCACCUUCUGUCUUGAGUAAUAUGAAGUGUCCCCAUCCUAUGAUCCUCCCGUUUCUUUCUGGAGGAACACA